GAAGGGUUUCAUUAUGAAAAGUAAAGAGAACAAGGAGAGUGAUCUAGAACCACCUAGGCCCUUUGUACACUGUCCUACCCUGAGAUUUUCCAUGUCUGAAGGAACCAAGCUUAUAUUACCACAAGAAGACCCCAAAGUGACAAAAGGAUCUGCUUCCAUGGAAACGGCAGACUUUGUUUCCCAGUCAUCUUCCAGGCUCCUGCUGACUACAC